AUGUUAACGGGGGGAGGGGAGGGGGAGGGGGCGGCGGGGGCGGGAGGGGGAAGGGGCCGGCGGGAGCUGCUCUCGGCUCGGCGGCCGCCGCGCCCGCAGUCUGGAGGCGCACCGGAGCGGCCGGGGCGCCCCCCGCGGGAGCCCGCAGCCCCCCGGGGCGCGCAUCCAGCCGCGGCUGCUCCGGCCCCGCGCGCCGCGCCCCGGGGCUCGGCGGACCCCGCGCCGCCGCCGCUCCCGAGCUGGUGCGAGCGGGCUGGCCGGCGGGGCGGCGAGGGCCCGGCCCGCCUCCCCAGCGCCCGCCCCGGCUUCUCCCCCUGGCGGCGGAGGAGCCUCGGCGGCCGCCGGCUGCACGGAGCGCUGGAGCCCGAGCCGAGCCGAGCCCGAGCCCCAGCCCGAGCCGCCGCCGCCGCCGCCGCCGCCGCCGCCGCCGCCGCCAACGCCGCGCUCGGCUCCCAGGCUCCCUCCCCGCGCGCCGGCCGGGGUGUGGGGGGCGGCGGGCCGGAGGGACGAGGGCGGGCGAGAGGCGCGCGCCGGGAUUGGCGCCGAAGACCGGACCCUCAGCCGCUGGGGGUUGUGGUGAGUCCGCUGCAAGUCAGUUGAUCUGUUCCAUGUCUCCUCAAUCAGGAUUCCAGACUGAUAGAACAGUUGCCAUCUUGAAUGUUUUACGUUGCUAUGGGGAGAAUAAAGAUUACUCCAGAGGGUGUCAGGCUGGCAUUUAAAUCCUAUGGCCAGAAGUGGCACACAUCAUUUGGGCUUCAACCUAAUUGGCCAGGACUAGUGGCAUGGCUUCAUUGAAUCAUCACAGUGAGGCCACAUCGUGCUGCCUACCUCGUGCCCCAAAGUAGAGAGCUAUGCUGCACAACUUUUAAGGACUAACAUACUCUUAGUGACUCUUUGCGCCAAUAUUCUCUAGGUAAGUGAUCCCACCCUGCUCCUUCGUGGCCUAAAUGUUCCAUUCUUCAGGGUAAGCGCCAGAGAGGCCAUCAAAUUAUAGGGAGACGUGCAUGCUGUGACUUCUCUUUGAAUGAAGUACUACAGCCCCAUAUCCCUUCCCCCCAAAUUGUGGCACCCUAUCAAUUUUAAGCCACUCUAUAUGUAUUUCCUAAUAUUGUAUGUGUUUUAUUUUUUCAAGACUUGUUUUCCGAGAAAGGGUGCCAUGAACAGGAACUUUUAAGAAGUGUUAUCUGGGGGGAAAAAAGUGUUAUCUGAAAAUGUCAUGAUUAUUAUCAAAUUUUGAAAUUUUGUCUUGAGUAGUUACUUCCCUUAUUUUAAAUAUCAAAAUUUUGCAACACAAAUAAAAAACUCUCUUGGAAGUAUUCAUUCAUUCAUUCAUUCAUUCAUUCACUUAUGCAUCUUUUUGUUCAUUCAAUAAAUAACUCAUUUACUAAUGCCAGAUACUCUAUUAAGGACCGUGUUUAUGGAGAUAAUUAAGAGUUAUUUUCAAGAAAUACGUUUUCCAGUUGGGCACACAGAAAGAAAAGUCAUUGCAAUGCUAGUAGAGGCACAAAGUUUCCUGAAUUCAUAUGGAUCACUGGAUUUGGGAAGAAGCAAAUAACUCUGCUGGAUUUAGGAAAGUUCUAUAGUAGAAUUGAACCAAGUCCUGAGGAAAAGUGAGACUCUUCUCUGCAGAAGGAGGAUAGAGGAUAUUUCAGGCAGUGAGACCAGUAUGAGUAAAGGCACUUAGGAUGUCCAUCCCAGGACCCUAAGAUCAUGACCUGAGUCAAAAUCAAGAAUCCAUCGCUUAAUGGACUGAGCCACCCAGGUGCCCCAGGUCUUCAAAUUGCUAAGGAGAAGUUGCUAAUUUGGUUUUAUAUGAAAAAUUGAAAUAUUAAAUGUUGAGAACUUACCCACAUUUCAAAGUACACAUGUGGGGUGAAAACCUGGACAGAUAAAAAUCAGCUUAAAGACCAACAAUCAAAUGUCUCCUACUAUAUGAGAUAGGGAGUCAUUAAAAAUUGUAAGGAUGGGGGUAAUACUGUCAGAACUCUUUAGAAAGUUCACUUUGAGGGGAUCUGGCUGGCUCAGUUGGUGAAGCAUGUGACUUUUGAUCUCAGAGUUGUGGGUUCAAGCCCCAUGCUGGGAGUACUUAAAAAUAAAAAUCUUAAAAAUAAUAGAUCUCUCUGGUGGCAUAGUGGAAAGGAAAAGUCUGGAGGCUAUAGCUCAUACUCCAUCAUAUCGUUUGAGGAUGAUGCAAAGCCCUUAAUAGCACCACCCUUUUUAUAAUAUACAACUUUUCAUGUGUAUAGGGGGCACUUGAUAAAUAUUUCCAGAGCUAAUGGAUGAAAGAGAAGCUAAAGUUUUAGAAGGAGGGCACACUUUUUGACGGCUCCUUAUGCCAUAUGCUUCCUUUGUUAGACUGUUAAUUUUUCAAGAGCACAAUGAUCUUAUAUUGAUCAUAUGUAAUUUUUCUCUCUGUGGUAAAUAUUAUUGGUUUUUAAAAAUGCAUAAAUCAUUUAGAGUAGGACAUAAAGAUCAGCACAGCAUCAGAAUAUUAUCUAGGACUAAGCAUACUGAUCCUACCUUGUAAAGGAAUACCAGCUAAACACAUGAUUCUUGUACUAGGCCCUAAAAGUCCAUACUCCCAGGCUUUGUAAAACUACACUAGACCCUUUUGUAUAGCUUAUGCAUAUUUUUAGUGAAGGCCAAACACUAUAUAGUAUUUUAUAUAUAAUAUAUAUAAAAUACAUAUAUAUAAUGUAUAUGUAUCUGUAUAUAUAAUAUAUUAUGUAUUUUAUAUAUUAUGUGUAUAUAAUACAUAUAUAAUUAUACACACACAAAAUAUAUAUAUAUACAGGGCACAUCCAUAUUCUUAAAGCCACUCAAUUCAUUGGACAAUCAAGUCUUUAAAUUCUUAGCAAUUUGGCUUUACAAAUUGAAAUUUUUUAAUUCAACUUUCUUAAGAUAUAAUUUAUAGACAAUAAAACCCAUCCAUUUUAUGUGUUCCAUGAGUUUUGAAUACAAAGAAGAAACAUGAGCAGAUUAUAAUAUUUUAAGUGAACUUCAGAGAAAAAAAUAUAUAUAUAUAUUUAGACAAAAUGUAUAUACAUGUAGGCAAAACAGCCUUAGGUGUCCAACCACCUGGAUUCUAAUCCAGAUUCAACUACUUACUAGCACGACCUUGAUCAAGUCUCUUAGUUUUCUGCCUCAACUUCCUCAUCCAUAUGGUGGGGAUUAUAAUUGUAUUUACCUCCUGGAGUUAGCAAAUGCCAGUGCUUCAACACAGUUAGUAGUCAAUAAAGACUAUGUUUUCUUUUGUUAAUGUUGUUGUUGUCAUUAUUAUUCUAAUAGAGAGGAAGUCCUGGGAUGUAAACAGGAAUAGAAAGUGAAUUGACUGGAAUGUAAGUGGAGUAGAAAGAAGCAAGUACUCCUGGGUGACUUGCUGUAGUGCCAAGGGGACUCAAAGCCAGAGAAGAAUUAUGGCCUCUAUUUCUGGAAUAUUUAUUUUUUACUGAAAGAUUUUGGAAGAAAUUAUUUUUCUAUUAAAACAGCUACACACAUAGUGGAAUGCUUUCUCUCUUUUAUAACUUUUGUGGAAAUGUUUGCCAAGUCCAGAACAUAUUCACUAGUAACAUUUAUGUUAAAAUUGUUAAAGCACCUCCUAUUUUUAUAUACUAUGAACGCUGCCCAAAUGUAGAAUCUUUGCCAUUAGUAAAUGUUUAUAUUUUAGAUGAAAAAUUUGUUGGAGUAGGGAAAAACGUAAUGGGACAUGACCUUGGGGAGAUCAAGUCACCAGGAAGAAAAGAGAACUGGACUCUCGUUCUGAUUCUAUAACUAUUUUUGUUGAUGUCAACAAACAUCAAGAUGGGGAAUCUUUGUUCUUUUCAUUCCGAAUUCCCACAUCCUGGUAGAUCUCAAACUUUAGUGUGUAUAGGAAUUAAAUAGAAUGCUUUUUUAAAAUGCAGAUUCCUUGGCUCCAUGUCCAUAAAUUCAGAUUUGGUAGAAAUAAAGCAGAGAUCCAGUGAUCCAUAUGAAUUCAGGAAACUUGGGUUGAAAGAGGCAGAAAUCCAAAUCAUAAAUGAAAGUUUUGUUUCACUUUUUAUCCGACUCUCAUCAACAUAUACACACAUAAGUUGGAAAAUACAGUGUAAGAAGUGCUUAAGGCAUAGUUAGAUCUAUCUGCUCAAAUGUCACCAACUAUCUCUUGUUUCUGCUUUCUUCUGUGUCAACUUCUGUUUUAACUUUAUUCUUAGUCUAGUUUUCCCUUUACUGUAUUAAGCUAGUCCCUCCAAGCUUCUAUUCUUCUUGAUGUAGAAACUCCAACAAAAGUACACUCCUCUUUCUCAAAGUUUCCACCAAAAGAAUUACACCCAAACUGUAUAGGCUGAGAUUUGGGGAGGUAUUGUUCUCCAAGAUAAAUUGGGGAUAAUUUUUCCAGAAAUAGGAAAUUCUUAUUAGACAAACCUAUAGAUUUUCCAUCCACUACAGUACAUUUUCUAGAAGUACUUUCAGCCUACCCACCAGAGCCUGGGAAGGGCUUAGGAUACUCAGAGUUUCUGAGCCAAUUGCCUCAUACAUUUAUCCCAGAGUUUUGGGCAAAUAUUAAAUAUUUUUAUGUGUGUCAUGAAGAUGAUUUUUCUGUAGGUCAUCUGUGACUUGCACAUUGAGAAUCAACGGAUUUUGAGAUCAUUUUGAGGUCAUCUCGAACAUACAAUAAUAUUAUUACUUUUAGAUCUUCAUGAGACAACUUAGAAGCUGAUGUAUACAAUUGAAAAGGCAGUAAAAGUUCCAGGUAUGGUAUACAGAAAAGGGACGCACAGGACCAGCAGUUGAAACCUGGUUUGACUUGGUUAUCGGUUUUGUUUUAUUUAGUAUUCUUGGACAUAUGUAGUUUGUUCCAUGUAAUAGACAUAGUCCUAGCCUGGAUCUUAGUAUGCCUGGCUCCUUUUUAAUAUUUGGAACAUAAAUGGAUGCAUAUUAUAUGGACAAUGGAAAGGGGUAAACCAGCAACAGCAUGGAAAAGAAAACAGAUUUGACUAUUAGUCAUGAGAUAUAUUUUAGGUAUAUUACAUGCAAGUUUAUAGAAGAAGUAAAUUCUGAUGAAUUAUUAACUCAUUCUUUUAAGUGAGGAAGUUACUUGUAUUUUCUUAACUCAUUAAUAAGGUUAAUAAAAUAAGUCUGCCUCAACGUUUUAAUAUUGAGUCAUUAGUUUAGUUUCAGAUGGCUUCAGAUGACCCCACCUCCCCAACUUCCACCUCCACCAAAGUAACCCAAUACACAAAAGAAAGUGUUUUCAGCAAAUGGUGCUAGGAUAACUAGAUAUCCAUACAGAAACAAAGAAACAAAUGAAAAACCUUGAUCCCUACCUCAUACCAUACACAAAAAUUCA
rnacentral:lncRNA from 1 species